UGCAAGUCGAGCGGACAGAAGGGAGCUUGCUCCCGGAUGUUAGCGGCGGACGGGUGAGUAACACGUGGGUAACCUGCCUGUAAGACUGGGAUAACUCCGGGAAACCGGAGCUAAUACCGGAUAGUUCCUUGAACCGCAGGUUCAAGGAUGAAAGACGGUUUCGGCUGUCACUUACAGAUGGACCCGCGGCGCAUUAGCUAGUUGGUGGGGUAAUGGCUCACCAAGGCGACGAUGCGUAGCCGACCUGAGAGGGUGAUCGGCCACACUGGGACUGAGACACGGCCCAGACUCCUACGGGAGGCAGCAGUAGGGAAUCUUCCGCAAUGGACGAAAGUCUGACGGAGCAACGCCGCGUGAGUGAUGAAGGUUUUCGGAUCGUAAAGCUCUGUUGUUAGGGAAGAACAAGUGCGAGAGUAACUGCUCGCACCUUGACGGUACCUAACCAGAAAGCCACGGCUAACUACGUGCCAGCAGCCGCGGUAAUACGUAGGUGGCAAGCGUUGUCCGGAAUUAUUGGGCGUAAAGGGCUCGCAGGCGGUUUCUUAAGUCUGAUGUGAAAGCCCCCGGCUCAACCGGGGAGGGUCAUUGGAAACUGGGAAACUUGAGUGCAGAAGAGGAGAGUGGAAUUCCACGUGUAGCGGUGAAAUGCG
rnacentral:rRNA from 1 species